rnacentral:rRNA from 1 species
AACGAACGCUGGCGGCAGGCUUAACACAUGCAAGUCGAACGCAUGCCUUCGGGCAUGAGUGGCAGACGGGUGAGUAACGCGUGGGAACCUACCCCUUGGUACGGGAUAGCUCCGGGAAACUGGAGAUAAUACCGUAUGUGUCCUGAGGGACAAAGAUUCAUCGCCAAGGGAUGGGCCCGCGCCGGAUUCGCUGGUUGGUGGGGUAACGGCCUACCAAGGCGACGAUCCGUAGCUGGUCUAAGAGGAUGAUCAGCCACAUUGGGACUGAGACACGGCCCAAACUCCUGCGGGAGGCAGCAGUGGGGAAUAUUGGACAAUGGGCGCAAGCCUGAUCCAGCCAUGCCGCGUGAGUGAUGAAGGCCCUAGGGUUGUAAAGCUCCUUCACCGGUGACGAUACUGACGGUAACCGGAGAAGAAGCCCCGGCUAACUUCGUG